CGGAGAGUGGCGCAGAUGGCUAGCGCGCGCGCAUGGGGUGCGCGAGGUCGCAGGUUCGAGUCCUGUCUCUCCGACAA
rnacentral:tRNA from 2 species